AAGCCGUGGUGGGGGCAUAGUCUCAAUAGCUCCUUAAAUCUGUCCCAUGCAUUGUACAAGGAUUCAUUAUCUUUUUAAGCAAAGCUAGUGACCUGAUUUCUUAAAU